UAAGUAAACCGGGUGACCGCCCUGAUUUAUCGGGGAGGAAAGUCCGAGCUCCUCCGGGCAGGAUGCUGGGUAACACCCAGGAGGGGUAACCCUACGGAAAGUGCAACAGAAACAUACCGUCCCGAGUAAUCGGGAUAAGGGUGAAAUGGUGAGGUAAGAGCUCACCGGCAGCCGGGUGACCGGCUGGCCGUGCAAACCCCAUCCGGAGCAAGACCGAAUAGGGGGAUAAAGAAGCCCGGUCUGUCCCCGGGUUGGUCGCUUGAGCCUGGUGGUAACAUCAGGCCUAGAUAGAUGGUCACCGUUUCGCUUUAGCGGAAUACAGAACUCGGCUUACAGGUUUACUUAGUCU
rnacentral:RNase_P_RNA from 1 species